UUCUCUUACUACGGUGGCCGGGGAGCUCGAGGUGCGUGUAGCUGCGGCGCUGAGGUCGGGGCGUCUGCGUGUGUGUUGGCUGCUUUUGUGGCAGCUGCUGGUGGAGCUGGAACAUUUCCCGAACAAAAGUCUAAACUUACAGAAGAAUGCAAUCAAGUGAUGGCUUUUUCUUUAGAAUCUGAAUAUGGAGGCCACAGGAACAGAUGAAGUUGACAAGCUGAAGACUAAAUUUAUAUCUGCUUGGAACAACAUGAAAUAUAGUUGGGUGUUGAAAACAAAGACAUAUUUUAGUAGAAAUUCCCCUGUAUUAUUGCUUGGAAAGUGUUACCAUUUUAAAUAUGAAGAUGAAAAUGAACUGUUACCUGUAAGCUCAGGAUGUACAAUAGAAGAUCAUGUGAUUGCGGGAAGUGUAGAAGAAUUUCGUAAAGACUUCAUUUCAAGAAUAUGGCUUACCUACAGGGAAGAGUUUCCUCCAAUAGAAGGCUCAGCUUUGACAACGGACUGUGGUUGGGGCUGUACACUAAGAACUGGCCAGAUGCUGUUGGCUCAAGGACUCGUACUACACUUCCUUGGUAGAGCUUGGACCUGGCCUGAUGCUUUGAACGUUGAAAAUUCAGACUCUGAAUCAUGGACUUCCAACACUGUAAAAAAAUUUACUGCAUCAUUCGAAGCAUCGCUUUCAGCGGAAAGAGAGCUCAAAACCCCAACAAUUUCUCUGAAGGAAACAAUCGGGAGAUAUUCUGAUGAUCGUGAAAUGCGAAAUGAAAUUUAUCACAGGAAAAUCAUCUCUUGGUUUGGUGAUUCCCCCUUGGCUCUCUUUGGUUUACAUCAACUAAUAGAAUAUGGAAAGAAGUCUGGGAAAAAAGCUGGAGAUUGGUAUGGACCAGCUGUGGUUGCUCACAUUUUAAGAAAAGCAGUUGAAGAAGCAAGACACCCAGAUUUACAAGGAAUAACUAUUUAUGUUGCGCAAGAUUGUACAGUUUACAGUUCUGAUGUAAUUGAUAAACAGUGCACUUCCAUGGCCUCUGAUAAUACAGAUGACAAAGCUGUUAUUAUUCUAGUUCCUGUUAGACUUGGUGGAGAAAGAACCAAUGCCGACUAUUUAGAUUUUGUAAAGGGUAUUUUAAGCCUUGAAUAUUGUGUGGGUAUUGUUGGUGGCAAACCUAAACAGUCAUAUUACUUUGCUGGAUUUCAAGAUGACAGUUUGAUUUACAUGGAUCCUCAUUACUGCCAAUCUUUUGUAGAUGUCAGCAUAAAGGAUUUCCCUCUUGAGACAUUCCACUGCCCUUCUCCCAAAAAGAUGUCAUUUCGAAAAAUGGAUCCUAGCUGUACAAUAGGAUUUUACUGUCGAAAUGUUCAGGACUUCAAACGAGCUUCUGAAGAAAUCACUAAGAUGCUGAAAAUUUCUUCUAAGGAGAAAUAUCCCUUAUUUACUUUUGUAAAUGGUCAUUCCAGAGACUAUGAUUUUACAUCUACUACAGCCAAUGAAGAAGACCUUUUCUCAGAGGAUGAAAAGAAAAGAUUAAAAAGAUUUAGCACAGAAGAGUUUGUCUUGCUGUAAAGGUUAGCACAUUUGUGCUUGAUGAGAAGAAAUCCUUUGAAGGAAGCAAAAUGAAGAGAAACAAAUGAAAUCUGGACAAGUUAAGUAUGGUACUGAUUUUCGUAGAAUGCAAAAGCAGUACAGGUACAACAAGAAGCCAGUGGUAUGCCUGAUUUUAUACACUGCAGCUCCCUCGUCUAAAGUACUGCAAUUUGUUGUUCCUAUACACCUGCAGUAGUCACAGGAUUCUACAACAAACACAUCAAAUGAGAGCACCAUAUCUUCAAACAAAUCAGAACUGACUGUAAGUGUUCUCUUACAAGGACUAUAUACAAGCUUAGAAUUACAGAAUAGCAUUCUGUUAUUUUCACAGCAUAUUUGGGGAUGAGACAAAAUUACACCUGGACAAAGUUGAGGUGAGAGGAGGGAGAAACUUCCUUUACAUUGCAUUAUAUUGAAAAUACUCAGAAUAUUGCACAGACAAGACAGAUCUUACAAUACAAUCAUCCCCAUGACUGAGAAUAAAUGGUUAGGAUCAGAAAUUAUUAGAAUAAUAUGCAUAUAAAAAGUAUUCAACAAUAUGUAUGAAUGAAUGCAUGCAUUCAUGAAAAUUGAGAGAUAGGCUGAUGGAUUUAUCUUGCCUAUUAAUAAUAAAAAAAUCAGCUUCAGCCAAGGACCAGCCAAAAGUUGUGCUAAUAUUUUACUGGAAAGACAGCAACAAAACUACAUCAUUAGAUUUAGAAUAGAGUUUCAGACUUUGUUUUGAACACAGAUUUCAUUUAAAGUUCUGACAGCCAGUAAACUCAGUCAAUAAAGCUAUUGGAUGAUCUCUUUCAGCCUGGAAUAAAAGAAAGUAAAAAGAGACAAGAUUCUGAAGUGGAUGUUCUGUUAGAAUUAUGAUAGGAGGAUCCUCCAUUUGGACAUAAAUAUUAAGAUACUAGAUUUUACCAUUAACGUAUCAGAAAUGAAUUUAAAAAAUUUUUGAUGUGACUUUUUGGUGGCAAAGUUUUCUUUUCUCUCUUCUUCAUAAAAUUUGACACUUUGAAUCCCCUUUUGUCAAUGUAUUAACCACCAGCAGGCAAUCUUGAGAGUCAUCAUUUGGUGAAUGACUGAAUGAAAAGAUCCUUUAUAGUGUAAGUCUAUGCAAAAGAAUUUCCCAGAGGUAUCCAUUUUUCUGUUUUUACGUUAAACCAACCCCAUUGAAUUUGUAUUAGUGAGAAGACAACAUUAGAAGAUUAAAAAUUCUGUUAACCUUAGGAUUUAGCAUUGUCCAAGGGCAAACAUAUCUAAAAAUAUAUAUGUUAAUGUCAUCUUAUUUUUAGGAGAAUGGAAACAAAAUACAUGUUUGUAUUAGGUAGAAAAAUUAUUGUGCUACCCUCUAACCAAUUCCGCCAGAAAUUUAGAAACUCAGUUUUCCCCUAUUUUAAGUCAAUAGUCCAGAUACCACUGUCAUUCAAGAAUGAAUCCCCAAAAAAUUCUACAGAGAAUUAUCUUUCAUUUAUAAUGUUAUUGAAAAUUAAAUUAAUAAGUAUAAAUAUAAUACUUAUAUUUUAUACUAAGACAAUAUAAUAAGAAUUGGGAAUUCAUGGGUUUUAAAAGAAGUUAUUUUAUAAGCAGGAAAGGUAAAGAGAGGAAAGUUAGAAGUCCAAUAGAAGUCUGAUAACAAAAGGAUGAGAGAAUUAUUGACAGCAAGUUUUGAGUGUGUCUAGGCAAAUACACCAUAUCAAACUGACACAGGUAAAAAGUAUGAAUUUAAAAGGCUUGAAGGCUGGGAUGAUUUAAAAUUUUUUUAAAAAAUAUUUAAUUUAUUACUUUCUUUUUUUUGUCUGCGUUGGGUCUUAGUUGUGGCACGUGGGAUCUUUUGUUGAGGUGCAUGGGCCUCUCUCCAGUUGUGGUGCACAGGCUUCUCUUUAGUUGUGGCAUGCGGGCUCCAGGGUUUGUGAGCUCCGGAGCAAGUGGGCUCUGUAGUUUGUGGCACACGGGCUCUCUUGUUGAGGCAUGCAAGCCCAGUAGUUGUGGUGCACGGGCUUAUUUGCCCUGCGGCAUGUGGGAUCUUAGUUCCCCGACCAGGGAUCGAACUCACGUCCCCUGCAUUGGAAGGCAGAUUCUUUACCACUGGACCACCACGGAAGUCCCUGGGAUGAUUUAAAAUUUGAUGUAGGCAUUGGAAGAAAGUAAAUACUGACUGAUACCAAAAGGUAGAUAUGUGGCUACCAUGUUGCACAACUCCAGGGGGGCACUGUUUUCAGUGUAAUGUGAAUGGCACUCCUGGAGUUGUACAAUGUGGCAUCCUUGUAGCUACUUGCUAUUUAUACAGCACUGUUCUGAUCAAUUCAGUUGUAUCAAAUUAUAGCUAAUGAAUCUAAGAUGGGGAAUUAGAUCUGGGAUUAAGGAGACAAUUAAGGAGUCCUGAGACUUGGAUGAUCCUAUAAUGGAGCAGGUCAGGAGAGUCCAUAGUUAGGACUCUAUCUAGUAAGUUAUCAGGGAGUUUUAAUGGAGAGGUACACAUACAUAUUUAAGUUAUUUCCAAGUUACUUUAACUAGAUAUCAUAGAAAAAAAAUCCACCCUACACUUCUGCUACCUCAAUAUAGUAUUUUCACUUGUCUAUAUUGUCUUCUAUUUUGUGUUUAAUAGGUUGAAUUUUGAUUCUUAUUUUUAAAAUUUAACUGCAUUCUAUUUGAUGGAGAGAGCCACCACUUAUUGUGUAAUGACAUUGUCUCUCUGACUUGCAUGGUAGUCUUUCCUGUGUCUUGUAUCUGGUUCCUAAACCUGAUUCACUGUGCUUGGCCAGUUUUGUGGCUACCAGCCCAUGUCUAGAGAGAGAGACCUAGAGAGAGACUCUUAUUUUUGUACAUAGUGUGUUCCUGUAAACACUUAAAACAGCUGAAUGUGAAGGAACUGAGCCAUAGAUGCUUUCAAACAAUAUUUUAAGGAAGGUUCUGUCCCAGAGAGUGUAAAAUAUUAUGGAAAUAUUAAAAACAUUAUAAAAUUAUUUUAAUCAUAUAGUCUUGACAUAAUCUUAGAGUUCUAGCAUUUCAUAGAUGUUCUUUAUUUUGUUCUUUUAUAGUCAAACAUACAGUUGAUUGACUUAAAGUCCAGUGAGCAUUUCAUUGAGGCUGAUGAUUAUUUCUAUCUUUAUAUUAAUUAUAUGAAGUUUGAGACCUACAUUUCUUACCCAUCUCUAAUGCCUGAAUUCACAUCUCUAUCUGCUGCAAGUCAUCAUUUAUCACAGAUGGUAACAUUGAGGCAAGACUUGGAUAUGACCUGGAAUGAAGGGAAAACUGAAUAGUACCACAGGUGGUGUAGCCCACAAAUUGGAAGACAUCUUAUACUUUAAUGACAACAAAAAUAAAGUUAUUUCAACUGUGGGAAAUUUGGGAUUUAAGGGAGAUGAGAAAAGGGAGCUUAGGGAUAGUUUCUAGUCACAUAUCUGCAUGAGGAUUUCAGAGGCUGAACUUUGCUGUCCUGGUUUUUCUCCUCCCUCACUGCUCCUUCUAAAGUUCCCCCUCAUCUCUCUGAUCUGUAAAUGUUGGGGUGCCCUAGAGCUUAGUCCUCAGUCUUUUUUCUUCUCUUCUAUGUUUAUACCCCUUGAUGAUUUCUUCCAGUUUCAUGACCUUAAAUACCGUCUAUAUGGUGCCUACUUCCAAAUGUAUAACUCCAGCUUGACUCUCUCCCUUAACUAGCUGCUUUACAUCUCCAGUUGGAUAUCUAGUAGGUAUCUCAAAUGCAAUACAAUCAAAGUUAAACCCCUGAUCUCUCCUCCCCAUCCGGCACCCCCCACCCCCACCCCCCGGCCCCAAGAAAAAGCUGCAUUCUUGACAGUCUUCUGUCUCAGUAAAGGGCAGUUCUAGCUACUCAGUUGCUCAGGCCAAAACCCAUGAAGUCACCCCUGAUUCCUCUUUCUCUCUUUGUCAUGCCUUGUAUCAAUUCCAUCAACAAAUCCUGUCAUCUCUACUUAAAUAUACGUCUAGAAACCAGCCUCUCCUCAGCACUCCACUGCUACCAUCCUGUUCCAAGCCCCUGUCAUUUCUCACCUGGAUUAUUGCAAUAGCUUCUCUACUUAAGUUCUUGUCCGUCUAUAGUCUAUUCUCAACAUAGCAAACAGAACGAUCUUUUAAAAAUCAUGUCAGGGACUUCCCUGGUGGUCCAGUGGCUAAGGCUCCAUGCUCCCAAUGCAGGGGGCACAGAUUGAAUCCCUGGUCAGGGAACUAGAUCCCACAUGCCACAACUAAGAGUUUGCAUGCCACAACUAAAGAUUCUGCAUGCCGCAACUAAACAAACAAACAAAAACAUGUCAGAACCCUCAAAUGGGGUCCCAGUCACUCAAUAUGGAAACCAGAGUCCUCAUAAUGACUAACACGGUCCUUCAUGUUCUGGUCCCCAGUUACCCCGCUGACCUUGUCUCCUCCAGCUCUGUCCAUCGCUCACUCUUCCUCAGCCACAUGGCCUCCUUGUCCCUCAAACAUGCCGGGUAGGCUCCUGCCUUAGGUCUCUGUACUUGGUUUGCCCUUUGCCUAGAACUCCCUUCCCCAAGAUAUUCUCAUGGCUUGUUUCCUUACCACUUUUAGGUAUUUGCAUGCAUAUCACCUUGUCACCAGUAUCUUCUCUGACCACCUCAUUGAUGACUGCACCCCCAUCACUGCCACAUCCACAUCAGGCUCUUUGUAUUUCUCUUCUGUUUUACCUUUCUCCAUAGCACUUGUCACCAUCUGGCAUUCUAUGUUUUAUUUGUUUGUUUAUGUGUCUUCCCCUGUAGAAUGUAAAUUCCUAGGGACCGGGGGGGGGGGGGUUUGUAUGUUUUGUUUGCUUUUGGAUUCCUAGCACCUGGUAUAGUGCCUAUAAUAUAUUAGACUUCAAUAAAUAUUUGUUGAAUGCAUAAAAGAAGGGCUUAGGGUAGUUCAUAGCACAUAAUGAGCACUCAAUAGAUGUUAACUAUUAUUUUAAAAGCUGUCAUUGUGCAUAGUAUAGGAUAACUAUAAGCCAAGAGUCUACUUACACGUAUUAAUGGCCCUAUAACUCUGUAUGGUAAAGCUCCGCUAGUAUUUCACUUUAGCCUCCAAAUAUCUCUUCUGGAAUAUACCAGUGCUUAGCACCAUGCCUUGUACACUCUCAGUAACUGUUUGAUAAAAUGAGUGGUUCCGUUUCUGCCUUGAGAAUAUCGUCUUUAGAAGGCCAAGACUAGAAACCCAGUGUUCUUUGGGACCAGCUUCCUGAUUAAAUCUUUUCAAAACAAAAGCAGUAAGGGUAGCAGAAAUUUACAGGUUAGAAUUUCCCCUUCUUCCAUUCUAAGACUAAAUUCUUAGCCCUGGGUCCUUUUUACUUAACUUAAAAUUACUGGGCAAUUUCAAUAGUUUCACUUUGUUUUUCAUUGUAGAGCUUGGUGUCCAUGUGUAUUAUAAUACAAAGUCCAAUAUCAUAGCAAAUGAUAGACAUGUUCAUGAAGAUCCCUCUGUCAGGUCAGCUCAACAAAUAUGGAGAUCUACUUACACUGAACUAAGUGCAAGGAAGUUGUAGAUGAAUAUUACUUGGUUCCACCUUUGAGGAGCCUAAGAACAGUGGAGAAGACAGACACAUAAGUAAUUGUAUUUCAAUACAGCGUAAUAAAUGCUGCAAGAGGACCAUGUGCAGAGGUGUAGAGGUAGCAAAUAGGAAGGAAUGAUUAACUUUUGUAGAUGGGGUGAGUUGGGGAGGAGAUUAAAAGAAGGCUUCUUAAAGGUUAUACCCAAGCAAAGCUUUUAUGUAUGAAAAAGUGUAAACAUGAGUUAUGGUGAGUAGGGUGGGGGCUGGAGAGGAAGAAGGCAUCUCAGAAAGAGGGAACAGUGUGCGCAGGCGCAAAGAUGCAUAACAGUAUAGUAUGCUCAGAAAAGUCACAAAUAGUUUGGUAUUAUUGAAGCAGAAGGUGUGAGUGUGUGUGUGUGUGUGUGUGUGUGUGUGGUGUAGGGGGUGGUGGCAUGCGUGGGAAGUCACAGAAUAUGAGGCUGCAGGGCUUUCCAUUCAACAUUAAGAGCUCCCAUGUGGUCAGUGGGGAGCUAUUCAAAACAGAAGCCAAGUUCUCAAAACUACUCUUCUUGCGCUACAGAGGGUGUAUUGAAGGAGAUAAGAGGGGAGGUAAGGAGUCUACUCAGGAGUCUAUUGAAAAAGUCCCAAGGUAAGCUGAUGAUGGCCUGAACUAAGGCAGUGUUACUGGGGAUGGAGAAGAAGAAAGGACUUUUGAGACAUUCUUCAGAGACUCAGGCAAAACACAUUUGGUUGAUUGCAUUUAGGGGGCACGAGGAAGACAAACACCUACUUGCUUCAUAAAAAUACAUUUCUUAUUUCCAGAUUCUAAAUAAGUUGGAGCAUUAGCAUUUGCUGAGAAGGGGAGUUCUGAGACAGAAGCUAUGGCAGGCCUCUGCACCCCACAGGUGCACAGAACAGCUGGGUUCCUCUGGGGUUUCGUCUCCAGAAGGAAAUUGUUGGUUUCCAAGGCAAAGAACCCUAACCUGGUCUCUAAGAGCUGGAGGGAGUCUCAGAGGUCAUUUAGUCGAAGCUUCUACCUAAUGCAGGAACCAUUUCUGUAGUAUCCUGGACAUAAGCUCAUCCAGCCUCAGCUUGAAAUCCACUCCCAGAGAUGGGGAUUUUGCCACUUCUUAAGGCAGCGCCUUCUACCUUUGAACAGUUCUGUUAGAAAGUUCUGCUUUACACUGAGCCAAAAUUGGCCUUCUCAUCUUUGGUUCUGGUUAUAUCCCAUAAUGCCACACAAGUGUGAUUUGUUUUCAAGAAGAAGUCUUACUCAGAAAUUAAAGAUGACUUUUGGAUCCCCACGCGGUUUCCUUAGUUCCAGUUGCUCCUUGUGGGACGUGGUUUCUGGACCCCUUACAUCUUGUUUGUGCUUCUGGAGACAAGCAUGAAAUGUCAGGGAUCCUCUUCAGAAGCAGCACCAACAACCCAUCAUAAUACAGUGGGCCCGCUCCUGCGAUGUGGAGCCCGCAGAUGUGGAGAGCCAGCUGCACUACACUAUUUUAUAUGAGAUAUUUGAGCAUCCACAGAUUUUAGUAGCUGCGUGGGGUCCUGCAGUUAAUCCCCCGCAGAUACCAAGGGAUGACUGUACUACCCACAAGAGCCCAGUGGUCCGGACAUGCGUUUUCAUCAAUGUAGCCUGAGGUUCGUAGGGGUUUUUUAGCAGCCAAAUCAUUAGCACCUGCUGAGUUUCCGGUCGCCAAAACCCCUGAGCUAACCCUGUCAGCCCUAUUCAGUUCAACUGAUUUUUAGAAUCUACGUGCAGGACUUACAUAUGUUCCUGUGAAACUUCACCUUCUUGGGUUUGUAGACGCAGAGUUUGUCUGUGAUGAGAGUUUACUGAUUCAAGACUCAAAACAAUCAUAUUAACCCCACUUUUAGUUUGAUAAGUGUUCCUGGAGGUUAACCUCUAAUUGCAUCUCCCCUUCACCUUCGUCUGAGGCUUAUAUUCCUUUCUUGUCUCAACAUUUUCCUGAUCCCAGAGCAGCUCAGGAACUUUAACUGACAGUUCUACUGCAGCAGCUGUUGUAGCUCCACACGUGUUGCCCCUUAGCCUCUGUUGUUGCUGCCACUGCCCUGCUGUCACUCCUGGUGAGAGCCGCCAACUUGGGUGUAUCUUUGGAGUUUGUCACUCCGCUGUGCACUGCUCAUUCCCACAUUGUUGGUGACAUUGUUAUCAUCCAUUUUGCUUCUAGUCACGCUAGUUCUUCCUCUGCUCCAGCAGGCCCUGCACUCAGACGGGGAAGACCUCCACCCACAAGCAUCACACUUCUUUAAUUAUAUGCCACAGAGGAAGGCAUACUUUCUAUGUGUGUGUGAGUGUGUGUAUGUGUUUUAAUACCCCCCAUCAGUGUUACACACCCUAUUUAUUUCACCCUACCUUUAGGUUGUUGACAGGCUCCCUACCUCAUCCCAGGAUUCCUUCAGGGCUGAGACAGAAGACAAUUCAAGUGGUAAGCAACAGUCAUAAGCUCUGUUGAGGGCUUGGCAUAGUGUCGGAGCUCAGUGCCCAGAGUAUAUCACCCCAAAUUGUCACUUCCCACCAGUCCUCCACCAGUGCCCCUGGUUUGAACUGGUGGCCUUCCUCUAGCUAUGGAAGAUGAAUUCCAUAACCCCCUCCUUUGUUCGCCCUUUCAGAGCCCUGCACGAGGAGUUGAAGAACAACCUUUGUCCCCUAGAGUCAGGCCAAGAGUCUUUGUCUUGGAAGUGAAAAGCAGUUCCAACCUCUAUACUCUCUUUUUGGACUUUCACCUCUUCACACAAACACGGUUUGCUCUGGAGGCUCUAAUUGGCUGAAUUCUUUUUUUAAACAUCUUUAUUGGAGUAUAAUUGCUUUACAAUGGUGUGUUAGUUUCUGCUGUAUAAAGUGAAUCAG